rnacentral:misc_RNA from 1 species
AUUGUUUCGAACGUCGACUUUUUUCACGAAGAGUCAACGGAUCGGUAUUGAGGGUCUUUGCCAUUCACCGUGGCUCCCUCGAAAUGCAUUAGCGCAUCCAUUUGAUAGGCAAGACGGACGAAAGCUCGACUUUUGUUUCCUCUUUCCUGCCGGGUUUUGAUAAUAUCAGGACUUCGGAGGCAGAGAGGAAACGUGAGCUGGACGUAACGUUUUGCUGGUUGGAGUGCUUCUGAACCCCGCCUUUUUUCGUUAGGAAAGAGGAUUUAUUUUCAAUU